AUAUGAAACUGAGAUACCAUG
rnacentral:miRNA from 1 species